rnacentral:rRNA from 1 species
AAUAGUGAUAUAGAGCAAAACCCUAAAAACGGUACUCAGUUCGGAUUGAAGGCUGAAAUUCGCCUUCAUGAAGCUGGAAUUGCUAGUAAUCGUGGAUCAGCAUGCCACGGUGAAUACGUUCCCGGGUCUUGUACACACCGCCCGUCACACCAUGGGAGCUGGUAACACCCGAAGUCAGUAGUCUAACCGCAAGGAGGACGCUGCCGAAGGUGGGAUUAGCGACUGGGGUGAAGUCGUAACAAGGUAAC